AUUGAACGCUGGCGGCAUGCCUUACACAUGCAAGUCGAACGGCAGCGCGGACUUCGGUCUGGCGGCGAGUGGCGAACGGGUGAGUAACAUAUCGGAACGUGCCCUGGAGUGGGGGACAACUAGUCGAAAGACUAGCUAAUACCGCAUACGCCCUGAGGGGGAAAGUGGGGGAUCGCAAGACCUCAUGCUCGUGGAGCGGCCGAUAUCUGAUUAGCUAGUUGGUGGGGUAAAGGCCUACCAAGGCGACGAUCAGUAGCUGGUCUGAGAGGACGACCAGCCACACUGGGACUGAGACACGGCCCAGACGCCUACGGGAGGCAGCAGUGGGGAAUUUUGGACAAUGGGGGCAACCCUGAUCCAGCAAUGCCGCGUGAGUGAAGAAGGACUUCGGGUUGUAAAGCUCUUUUGUCCGGGAAGAAAUCCCACCCUUGGAUACGGGAUGGGGAUGACGGUACUGGAAGAAUAAGCACCGGCUAACUACGUGCCAGCCGCCGCAGUAA
rnacentral:rRNA from 1 species